rnacentral:rRNA from 1 species
AUUGAACGCUGGCGGCAGGCUUAACACAUGCAAGUCGAACGAGCGGCGGACGGGUGAGUAAUGUGUGGGAAACUCGCUGAUGGAGGGGGCUCACUACUGGAAACCGUAGCUAAUACCGCUUCCCAUCCGAUGUGCCCAGAUGGGAUUAGGUAGGUGGUGGGGUAAUGGCUCACCUAGGCGACGAUCCCUAGCUGGUCUGAGAGGAUGACCAGCCACACUGGGACUGGUACACGGUCCAGAACCCUAAGUGAGGCAGCAGUGGGGAAGAUUGUCCAAUGGGCGAAAGCCGUAUACAGCCAAGCGGCGUUAAUGAAGAAGGCCUUCGGGUUGUAAAGCGCUUGCAGUAGGGAGGCGUUACCUGCAGAAGAAGCACCGGCUAACUCCGUGCCAGCAGCCGCGGUAAUUC